CCCACUCUUUUCCAUAGUAUUUUUUUUUCAUUUUUGGAAGAUUUUUUUCCUUUAGAUUUUUUUCUUUUUCUCUGUUCACUGCCAUGUUAUACAUAUAAGGCACAAAAUGUGCACCUGAAUAUAGGUAUCUUGUUUUGUAACCCCCAUUGACAUAAUGGUUACAUUGGUUACAUUGGUUACACUCAUACAAACUAUCAUAAAUCAUUCAUAAUUUCCCCAGUCUAUUUGUAACUUUCCUUCACCUAAUGGUUACAUUGGUUACACCCAUGCAAUCCCCGUUACCAUGACAACCCUUUGCAUGGAGAAACAGGGGUCAAUCUGAUUAUAAUGGUUACAUACAUGGGAAAUCAGGUUACAAUGGUU
rnacentral:lncRNA from 1 species